rnacentral:lncRNA from 1 species
CAGCGUUACAGCGGGAAGAAAGAAACAGUCAUCGAUGAAGCAGAUGUUUAAGGUUCAAAGUAGAUCAAGGCAUUUUAUGAUAAGAACAUGGAUCUGUUUUGGGUAACUGAUUUGGCUAGACAGAACUAUCUUCUCCAUAAAAAGGUUUCUAGAUUGGAACGAGCCACGCCACCGACAUAUAAUCAUCAAUCAACUGUUAGAUUUUAAAACUCUAGCUUUUCUCUUAGUAGCAAUAUGUACUUAUUUUUGUCUUGAUGGGUAAGUAGCUCCUGAAUGUUUAUAUUCAUUUUUGAGCUGCUCCAACCUUGCGUGGACAACUGUUAUUCAAGUUCUGGUAGAUGCCGAGUCUGCAGUGUACUCGGGAUAAAUGUUUAGUGAAAUAUUGGGGAUAUCUUAUUGUUCGCUUUUACUGCUUCCUGUCACCCCCCAACGUAGGUGAGGUGGACAGGCACGCAGUACCUCAUUUACAUGCCGACUCAUUCUNNNNNNNNNNNNNNNNNNNNNNNNNUAUAUAUAUAUAUCACCAUAGGCCUACGAGGCCUCGCUCUAUACAUCAUGCUGUUAACAGCGACAUAACUGACCACAGGUGUCCAUGCGUCUACAAAAGCUUCUAAGAAUAUCUGAUUGACAUAACAUCAUCGGGAUAGGGCUCCGACCUACCUGUAAGUAUAUAUAUACAUAGGACGGUUUGAUAACCUCUAGACUCGGUUGUACUCCUGAUGAAAUGGAGCUUUGCCAAUCCUCAAUUGGAUAUUAACUCUGUCAAUGAUAAGAGCCUGUCAAACUGGAUACCUGAACCUGUAGGCAUGAAUGCAGUGCCCCAAUGAUGGGGCAUUAGUACAAAGAAAUGUAUCAAGUAUGUAAGGCAGAUAACAUAUGAAUAACUGAAUUGAAACUGAGCUGAUAAUAUAAUAACUGAAAGCAACUAGGAGUCAAAGAUGAUCUGAAGAUAUGUUUACCUGCUGAUACUGACUCAACUCUUUCAAUAUAGUAAGUAAAAUAGCUAUUUGGCUCUAUAAGGCUUGGUACGGGUAAAUGCUUGGUCGCAGUAGGCUCGCUCAUAGGCGUUCGGCCAUACUAGGCUCGGUAUCUAAAUCACUACUUUGCCAUUCUGGACUCACUCAUAGGCGCUCGGCCAUACUAGGAUCGGUCAUACUAGGCUCGGUAUCUAAAUCACUAUUUGCCGAUUUUGGGCUUGCACAUAAGUGCUCGACCACAGUAGGCUCGGUAUAUAAUUUACCAUGUGAUCAGAGGAUGCCCAAUAGGGACCUGCCCACCGAUUAUAGCUCGGUGAUGGUGAAAAUACCGUAAUACUGUAUAUAUAUAAACUCUCUGCUCUCUUGACUGAAAAAAAUAAUACUUAAUUGAAUAUAAAAUCUCGAUAAGGGAGGAUACUAUAACCUUAGUGCUAUUUGCACAUCACGCCUCAUUACAAUUUUAAAAUUAAGAGAAUUACCUUUUUAGAUCACUUAUCUGUAAAAGACAGGUUUCUUACGUGUAAAAGUAAAUCUCCCAUUUGGAAAAAAAGAGAUAGGGUCAUAAAACUAAAAACAAGUUUGUAAAGGACCACAACCAAUUGACCCCUAUAACUUAUGAGACUAGGUUAAUGUACAUAAAUUCAGGAAUACAAACUUCUCUUUAUGUCUUGCUAUCAAAUGCGUUUAGUUACGAGAUCAUGCCAAAAUGAAGGAAAUGUUUAGCCUUAAUAUACCUUAUAUCUGAAUACUUACAUUACAAAGAUCAAACAUCUCUAAGGCUACACUGAAACAUAAAAGUGGCACUUACGUGUUUCAUAAGAGACCGUCCGUAAGGCUCACUCAUAAACAUGAAUAACUAGUGGCUCGUACGCGUAACACAGUAGACUGUCCGUACGGCUCACAAUAUCGAGGUCUGGCUACGCGUAUGAUGUACUUUCAAGGUUUUGCACCUCUCAAGCACAAAGAAGAGAGAAAAACAAAAGUACCCCGCUAAAGUUUUUCACAAAACUAGCGAAAGCGUUCUUCAAACUCAUGUUAGAAGAAUGUAAGAUGAAAAGAAACCUUACCCACACAUUCUUCAAUCCUGCAAGAUUUCAAGAAGCGUUGAAUAACGGAAGAACAAUGAAAUAAAAAGUAAAUCACGUUUUUGAAGCAAGAGCUUAGACAAACUAAUCACCAAUGUUUAUUUUCAGCAUAUUGAGCCCUUUAAAUAGGCCUUACAAUGAGUAAAAUUGAUAAGGCUAAGGAAAAUUAAUCCUAAUUAAACUAGAAUAAGAAUAAGGCUAAGAAAACCUACCUAACUAAAAUAGGAAAAAGAAUUCUAUAGGAAUGGACUGCCAACUACCAAUCCUAGUUUGACUAGAACUAUAAAUAUAAUCCUACUAAAACAAGAAUUAAGAAAUCCUAAACUUUAAGGAAAAGAAAUCCUAAUCUUGAAUGGACUUGGACUUCUUCAAUUUCUUGAAAUUCUUGGGCCUCAAUUGGACUAAGGCUAAUUAGUGUAAGCAUUUUAAAUUCGUGGCCCAAUUCUCCAAACCCAUUGACACCUUCAUAAGCCCAAUAAGCCUCCAUUAUUGUAGAAAAUAUAAACUCCACUUGUGCUUGUCUAGCAUCAAGAUUUGAGCUUAUAUGUUCAUCAUUCUCCCCUAGUUGAAAAGGACUCUCCCUCGAGUCAUUGGAAUAGUAGGGAUCAAGCUUUGCUACAUUGAAGAUAGGUGAUAUUUCAAAGUCAUUGGGAAGCUCCAAGCAAUAAGCAUUAUCACCAAUCUUUUGCAGUACCUUAAAAGAUCCAUCAGCUCGCUUCUGUAAUUUUGAAAACUUGUGGUUUGGAAAUCUCUCCUUACUCAAAUGAACCCAAACUAGGUCGCUUUCCUUGAACACCACAUGUUUUCUACGUGUAUCCGUUUUUUCUUUAUAUUUAGCAUUUUGCUUCUCGAUAUGUGCAUGAACUUUCUCAUUUAGUUUUUUUGAGUUGCUUCACUCAAUCAGCAACAUCUCCACUAAAGGAAUGAGUAACUAGAAGAGGGGAAAAAUCAAGUGGUCCAAUAGGAUUCUUACCAUAAACGACUUCGGAUGGACUCUUUUCUGUAUUGCGGUUGGUUGACUUAUUGAAGGCAAACUCAGCAGUAGGAAGUAACGAUUCCCACUCUUUGAGAUUCUUCUUUAUUAACCCACGAAGCAAAGCACCUAAACUUCGGUUGAUAACUUCGGUUUGCCCAUCACUUUGGGGAUGAUGAAAAGUGCUAGGUGUUAGCUUAGUAGCAUGUUUAGCCCAUAAAGUCCUCCAAAAAUGACCUAGGAACCUGGAAUCCCUAUCUGAAACAAUAGGUCUGGGAAUUCCAUGCAAUUUUACAAUAUGAUCAAAGAAGAGAUCAGCAAUAUUUGUUGCAUCUGAAGUCUUAUUGCAAGGAAUAAAGUGAGCCAUCUUUGAAAAUCGAUGAACAACCACGAAGAUGGAAUCCUUACUUCUUUGAGUCCUUGGAAGGCCCAACACAGUACAUGCUAAUGUCUUCCCAAGGUUGAGUAGGAAUUGGCAGAGGAGUGUAAAGACCCGAAUUGCUUUUGUGCAUUUUUGCUUUUAUACAAGUUUCAUAUCUUUCAACCAACUUAUUGACAUUCUGAACCAUCUUAGGCCAAUGGAAGUUUUCUUGAACUAAGCGUAGAGUCUUUGUUUGCCCAAAGUGGCUAGCGAACCUCCCUCAUGAGACUCACGGAUUAUAAAUUCACGCAAACUUCCUUGUGUAAUAUAAAGUUGUUUACCAUAAUAAAGAUAACUAUCCUUAAGCAAAAAGAUACACUGAGGACCCUCCCAUCAUUGACCCCAAAUAGCUCCAAAGUCCGGAUCUGUUGCGUAUAAUUUCUUUAUGUGCUCAAAACCCGCAAUAGUAUUUUGCAUGGCAGAAAUAAAACAAGGCGUGCGACUUAAUGCAUCAGCUACUUGAUUGACAUUUCCAUCCUUGUAUUUAAUAAUAAAGUGAAAGGCUUGCAAAAGUUCUACCUACUUGGCAUGCCUAAUUUUGAGUUUAUGUUGGCUAUUCACAUACUUCAAGGCCUCACGAUCAGAAUAAAGUACAAAUUCUCGAGGUAAAAGAUAGUGACUCCAAUGAGAAAGAGCACUAACAAUGGCAUAUAACUCCUUGUUAUAAGUAGAAUACUUGAACUUUGCAUCAUUCAGCUUCUCACUAAAAUAAGCAAUAGGUCUACCUUCUUGACCAAGAACAACUCUAAUCCCAAUUUCGGAAGCAUCACAUUCAACUUCAAAGAUUACAUCAAAGUUGGGAAAAGCAAGCACAAGUGCUUGCGUCAUCUGCCUUAAUUAAUUCAAAACUCUUUUGGGCAAUAUCCGUCCAUUUAAAUGAGUUUUCCUUCAAAUACUCGGUAAUAUGAGCAACAAGAGAGCUAAAAUUCUUUAUAAAACGCCGAUAUAAAGAAACCAUACCAUGAAAACUGUGAAUCUCUGUUAAGCUUUUUGGUAUAGGCCAGCUAGCAAUAACUUCAAUCUUUCCUGAGUCGGCAUGAAUUACCUCACUAGAGACAAUAUUAACCGAGAAUAGAGACUUGCUCGGAAAAGAACUUGCACUUCUUCAAAUUGGCAUAAAGGGUUUGCUCUCUUAAAAAUUCAAAAAUCUCUCUCAAGUGCUUCAAAUGUUGUUGAUCAUCCUUGCUAUUAAUAAGUAUAUCAUCAAAAUAAACAACGACAAAUUUUCCCAUGUAUGGAUGAAAAAUUUGUGUCAUGAGUCUCAUACAUGUGCUAGGAGCGUUAGAGAGCCAAAUAGCAUGACAAGCCAUUCGUACAAUCCCUUGCCAAUAUUGAAUGUAGUCUUCCAUUCAUCACUCUCCUUCAUUUGAAUUUUGUGAUAGCCACUCUUCAAAUCUAUUUUAGAAAAUAUCUUGGUCCCAUGUAAUUGAUUAAAAAGAUCAUCAAGCCUAGGAAUAGGAAACAUGUACUUGAAGGUGAUCUUGUUAAUAACACGACUAUCAACACACAUGCACCAAGAUCCAUCUUUCUUAGGAACAAGCAAGGCAGGUACAUCAUAAGGACUUAAACUUUCCCUUAUUAGUCCACGAUCUAGCAGUUCCUCAACCUGUCGUUGAAGUUCCUCUUGCUGUGUUUGAUUCAAUCGAUGUGCUACUUUAUUAGGAAGUGGUGCACUUGGAAUAAAAUCAAUUUGAUGUUAAAUUGACCUCAUUAGUGGUAAGGAAGAAGGUGUAGUAUCAGACACAAUAUCAUGAAACUCAUCUAAUAUUGCUUGAAGUCGUGGGUCAAUGACUUCUAAUGACUCUUUCUUCGUGAUAGAUUCCACUUCCUUAGGUACCACAACAAGCACUUCCUCUCUCUCCUUCAAGUAUAUUUUUACAAUAGCUCUUGUGAUGUAUGUCUCCUUCACUUUAGGAUUUGACUUCUUUAAAUCUUCAGGGUUCAUUGGGAGCCGUUUGAUCUUCUUUCCAUAUUUAAAGAAAGAGUAAGUGUUCUUGAAGCCAUCAUGAAUUGUCUUUCUGUCAUAUUCACAUGGUCUCCCAAGCAGUAAGUGGCAAGCAACCAUAGGCAUUACAUCACACCAAACCUUAUCUUGAUAAUUUUUUCCAAUAGAGAAAGGAAUAAGGCAUCAUUUAUUAACAUGUACAUUCCUUCCUUCAUCCAGCCACCUCAUGUGGUAUGGCUUCUGCAAUGGAUCUACCCCAAAUUCCAAUUUGGUAACCAUUUCUUCAGAAACUACAUUGGUACAACUUCUCGUAUCAAUGAUGAGUGUACAAACUUUUCCCUUAGAUGUACAACGUGUAUGGAAAAUAUUGUGUCACAACCAUGAUUCUUCCUUGCUAAAAUCUGAAUGAAGAACUCGUUGGAUCAUAAGGUAUUCUCUAUCAUCUCAAUAUUCAACUACUUAUUCCAAGUUGUCAUCAUGUUGCUCUUCACGAUAAUCUUCUUCAUCAGUUGCUCCUUCAAGGAUAGUGAAUGCCUUUUUGUUACUACAAUCAGCUUGUAUAUGUCCAAGUCCUCAACAUUUAUGGCAUCUCUUUUGAAAAAUAGCUUCUGAAUUCACGGGCUUCCCUUCAACUUUCUAGACACUUGAUUUUGUUGUAUAUGAUUGUGGCUUUGUAGAGCUGUAACUAGCACUCCUAUGGUUGAAAGUGUUCGGCUUUUUGAUGGUAGUUGAUGAAAACGUGGAUUUGGCUUUCCUAUGUUGUGUCUCUAUGACCUUGGCUAGUUUGACAACAUCUACAAAGGUCCAAUGGGGAUGCAAUCGUAUCAUAUUCGCAAUAGGCUUAUUUAAUCCAAUCAAAUAUCGAGGAAUUAGGCGGGUUGGUUUUUCUUUAAUGUCACUCUUGAGCCUAAGAUAUUCAAAUUCUCUUGUGUACUCAUCCACAGAUAAAGUUCCUUGUCUAAAAGAAUGAAACUUCAAGUAAGAAUCUUCUUCAUAUGUCUCUUGCAAGAACUGUUUGUGCAAUUCUCGUUUCAUUCUCUCGCAAGUGCGAAUUCGUAUUUUCCUAUAAGCUCUCACUUCUGCACCUUGCGUGCAUAUCCUUGUGUUGAUGCUGUUGUGUAUGGCAAGGGCUGGUAUUGAAGAUGUACCUGCGUUCCAGUUAUGGCUAUCACUUGUCCUUGGUAGCUUUAGAUUCGAAUUCUGUUCAUAUACAUUUGAAACAUAUGUUGUACUUAUUUUAUUUCAGUUUUGUAAAUCUAAGUCUUAGUAGCUCAUGACUUGUACUACCAGUCCUUGGGGAGUUGUAUAAAAAUUUAAUUAUUUCAUUUUUGACUCUUAUCAUUAUCACUAUAUCAUGUUUUAUUGUUAUUUGGCUUAUCUAGCGGGUUGGGUUAGGUGCCAUCAUGACGGGUUAGAUUUUGGGUCGUGAUAUUAAUACUAUUAUACUUAUCCUUACCACAUCAUUUUUAGCCCAAAACAUCAUAAGAUUGAGGAAUCCUGGGGGGGGGGGGGGGGUGGGGGGGGGGGUUUCCUUGGAGCCUACAUGUUCGCGACAAGGGGGCUCACGUUCUCAAUAGUCCAGCCUGGAAGCCUUCACAUUCACGAGGGUUCCUUUCGUGUUCGCGAAGGAGAAAUGAGGGCGGAGGCGAGGCUGUGAUUCGCGAUCACGAGGCUUUAUCCACGAUCACGAAGGGUAACACCUCGGCAGAAUACAUUUUUGUUUCGGGAUUUAGGCUCAUUUCUUUCGAUUUUCACUUUGGAUUGGACAAUUUUGGAGGUCUUUUAUAGGGGAUGUUCUCAAACAUCACAAGGUAAGUGAUAUCUAUCAAUUAUGAGUGAAAUACAUGGAUUAUGGGUAGAUUUUAUCAUAUACAUUUGUGAAAAUUUGGAAAUUUAUGGAAGAACCUAGGCUUUAGUAAAGAUGGUAUUUGACCACGAAAAUGAUUAUGGAAUUGGGUAUAAGUUAUAUAUUUGAGUUUGUAAGGUCAUGGGUAACAUUGAUAUUCGAAUUUUUGAAAUCCGGGCACGUGGGCCCGGGGUUGACCUUUAUGGACUUUCUGAGUUGGGCUGGAAAAUUAGUAUAAUAGUUAAAUUAUAAAUUUUGAGCAUAUAUUGAUUGAUUUAUGUGUCAUUUGAUUAUUUUGGGUUGCUCAGCGUUGUUUUAAGGCGACUAGUGAGGUUUGAGAGUCGAGUAGAGGGCUUGAAAGCGAGGUAAGUCUCUUGCCUAAUCUUCUAAGAGAAAAAUUAUCUAAUUGUUGUGUUCUACUUGUUAUGGGGGCUAUGUACGUACAAGGUGACGAGAGUUCAUGCAUAGCUAAAAUCAUGUUUAUGUCCGGGUAGAUUUAUAACUUUACCAUGCCUUAUUUGUACUACUUGAACUAAACUUGUUAGUUUAAUUACUUAAAUUUAUAAUUGAGAUUUGAUUAGGAUUUAUGUUGGACCAAGCCUAUUUACCUUGGGUUUUGGCAGGAUACUUGAUUGUCGGUAAAAAUCAUGCUCUCUUUAUGUUCCUAUCCUUGUGUUGUAUUUAUAUGACCAGUAGUUCGGAAAGUUCCUCUAUUCCUGUGGAUCGGGCCGUACGCUUUGACAGUGCUAUGAAAUAGCGUUAUGGAUCGGGCCGUACAACCUUGGAAGUAUAUUUGAGAUGCAUAAAGGGAUAUGGCCGUACGACCUUGGCAAUGUACACUAUUAUUAUGGAUCGGGCCGUACGACCUCACCAAAAUUCGUGUGUAAUAUCGCUAGGAUUCAGAAUAUACAUGAGAUUUCAUUCUUGACACGAGACUUGACAUUUACUUGAUGUUCCUUAUCUUUUUGAGAUAGCACAUGGUAUUUGAUGUUUUCAUAUUUUUAUUAUGUAGAAGACUCAUGUUAGUUACAGUUACUUAUUUGAUUGCUACUUAGUGUGUUUCAUGCCUGUCUACUGAGGCAUGUACUUCAAGCGGUCAUUUGGGCGCGCAUAUAUACUAUCCGGUGACUUAGUGGUGAGCUGCUCUGCAUACUCAGAUCUGCAUCACAUAGAGUCUCCUUCUUGUUAUAUUUAUCAUUUUUGUCUAUUUUGUUCAGACAAUAGCUAUAGUGGUUUGUAUAUUCUAUUAGAUUGCUCGUACACUCGUGACACCGGGUUUUGGGAGUUUCUACUAGAUGAUUAUGGCUCUAUCUAAUAAAAUCAUCAUUUCAUUUUAUGUUUCAUUCAUACUUUAUGACUUAUUAAGAAUGUAAGUAUGUCUCAUGGCUUCUACAUUUAAUUUCAUUUACUUAAUAAAAUCCAUGAUUUCAAAGGUCUAAGAACAAAUAAUCAAGUUGAUGGUUCACCGUUGGUUUGCCUAACAGCGGUGUUGGGCACCAUCACGGCCUAUGAUAGGAAUUGGGUCGUGACAGCUUGGUAUCAGAGCACUAGGUUCAAAUAGGUCUCAUGAGUCAUGAGCAGACCUAGUAUAGUCAUGCAGAUCAGUGCGAGAACGUCCAUACUUAUCUUUGAGAGGCUAUAGGGUAUUAGGAAACUUCUCUUUCUUUAUCUUUUGUUGUGUAGUUUAUGUUGUUCUAAGUAUAUUUAUCUUAUUCUCUCAUAGAUGGUGAGAUCAUGCACGAUGGUAUUACCUGGCAGUAGAAGGGCUGCUCCUCCAGUUGUCAGAGGUAGAGGUAUAGGUCGAUGGAGGGCCAUAACUCCUGCUAGAGGAAGAUGGUGUCCUAGAGUUGCUCCUAUAGAACCAUUAAUGGAUCCGGUGGCGUAUCCUAUUAUUUAGGAGCAGGAUGAGGCACUUAUAGAUGAGCCAGUCCCAAUAAAUUUUAUGACCGCACCGGGAUUUCAGGAGGUCAUGGGCCGUACGGUGUGGUUCAUGGAUUCCAUGACUCAGACUGGACUAUUUCCAGUAGAUCUUGCUACAUCCCAGGCGGGAAGGGGAACACAUACUCCCAACCACUCAUGCGCUCGGGCACACUGAUAUUGUGUAUCAGACCCCAGGUGCACUGCCUGCGGGUGAGGUUCAGCCGGUUGCAGUGGUUAGAGCAGAGACUAGACUGUCCGUGACCGUGAAGGAGCAGAAGCUAUUGGGCAUAUGGACUAGGAUUCAUCCUCCUGUCUUUCGGGGUGAGCGGUUAGAGGACCCACAUAAUUUCAUUGAUCGUUGUACGGAGAGGUUGCAUAAUAUGGGGGUAGUGGAGUCCAAUGGGGUGGACUUCAACACAUUUUAGCUAAUGGGGAAGGCUCGCAGAUAGUGGCAAUCUUAUCUCCAUAACAGGCCAGCAGGUUCACCUCCCAUGAUUUAGGAUCAGUUAACACACCUUUUCUAGGAGAGAUAUAUUCUACCCUCACAGUGGGAAGGUUACGGGGUCAGUUUGAGCGGCUCCAGCAGGGUUAUAUGUCCAUGACCGACUAUGAGGAAAGAUUCUCUGAGUUGCCUCGUCAUGUAGCUAUCAUACUCUCCACAUAUGCAAAGAGAAUGCGGAGGUUUAUUGCGGGCUUGCACUAUGGGAAUUAGGUUUCUAUGGCCUAAGAGGCAGAGAUGGGUACUCCUUACAAUCAGGUUGUGGAUAUAGCUUGGAGGAUAGGGUGUAUCCGCAUCCAGGGCAGAGAGUUAACAUCAAUGGAUAAGCGGCCUCGACAUUGUGGUGGAUUCAGCAAUGCCCCGUCUGGGGGCAUAGACCAGUUCAUGAGGGGCUAGCUUAUCAGGUCCAUGUAUUCAACACCACCAUCUGUUUGGGGUGCUCCAGAGCGUACUUACUUCACCGCCAUUCUAGAGAGCACCUACCGUCCACCAACUAUUCAAGGUUCCUCUAGUGGGUAUUCAGGUCAUCAGGGUCAGACCUAGAGUCAGUAGUUUUCAGCACCGAGAGGCUUCUUCGAGUGCAGGGAGCUUGGUCAUGUGAGGAGGGUUUGCCCGAGGCUACGGGAAAAGGUAGUACAACAGGGCCAUCAACCCAUGAUUUCCACACCUACUAUCGCAUCGCACGUCCGGCCAGCCUGAGGUGGAGCGCAGGUGGGUAGGUUUCACCCCUAGAGGUGGAGGCCAGUCAAGUGGUGCUCCAGCUAGAUUCCGUGCCUUCCCAGCUAGACCAAAUGUAGUAGCCUACGAUGCAGUCGUGGGAGGCAAGGCACACAGGGGGAUAGGNNNNNNNNNNNNNNNNNNNNNNNNNNNNNNNNNNNNNNNNNNNNNNNNNNNNNNNNNNNNNNNNNNNNNNNNNNNNNNNNNNNNNNNNNNNNNNNNNNNNNNNNNNNNNNNNNNNNNNNNNNNNNNNNNNNNNNNNNNNNNNNNNNNNNNNNNNNNNNNNNNNNNNNNNNNNNNNNNNNNNNNNNNNNNNNNNNNNNNNNNNNNNNNNNNNNNNNNNNNNNNNNNNNNNNNNNNUAUAUAUAUAUAUAUAUAUAUAUAUAUAUAUAUAUAUGUCUCAACGCCAGUGGGUGAUUCUAUUAUUGUGGAUCGGGUUUAUUGGUCAUGUGUAGUCACUUUCCGUGGUUAUGAGACCAGCGCAUGUCUUCUAUUACUCGAUAUGACUAACUUUGAGGUUAUCCUAGGCAUGGAUUGGUUGUCUCUGUACCAUGCCUUUCUUGAUUGCCAUGCCAAGACUAUUACCUUGGCAAUGCUAGAGUUGCCUAGGUUGGAGUGAGGGGUUCAUUUAUUAGUACAUCCAGUCUGGUUAUCUAUUUCUUAAAGGAUCGACAUAUGGUCGAGAAGGGUUGUUUGGCCUAUCUAGCCUUUGUUUGAGAUAGUGUUGUGGAGACUCUCACGAUAGAUUCAGUGCAUGUGGUGCAUGAGUUCUCCAAUGUAUUUUCUGCCGAUCUACCAGGCAUGCCACCAGAUCAUCAUGAUAUCAAUUUCGGCAUUGAUUUGGCACCAGGCACCCAGCCUAUCUCUAUUACUCCUUAUUGUAUGGCUCCAGUGGAGUUGAGAUAUUUGAAAGAGCAACUUCAGGAGUUUCUCAAGAAGGGAUUCAUCAGGCCGAGUGUGUCUCCUUGGGGUGCACCAGUAUUAUUUUUGAAGAAGAAGGAUGGGAAUAUGUGGAUGUGCAUUAAUUGCCGCCAGCUAAACAAAGUCACCAUCUAGAAUAAGUAUCCAUUGCCGUGCAUCGAUGAUUUGUUUGAUCACAUUCAGGGUUCUAGAGCGUUCUCGAAGAUCGACUUGAGAUCUAGGCAUCAUGAGCUGAGGAUUCGUGCUCUGGAUAAUCCGAAGACGGCCUUCCGGAAUAGAUAUGGGCACCUUGAGUUUCUAGUAAUGUCCUUUGGCCUGACUAACGCCCUAGCAGCGUUUAUAGAUUUGAUGAACCGGGUGUUCAUGCCAUACCUUGACUCAUUUUUCAUUGUCUUCUUUGAUGACUUAUUGAUCUACUCGCGUACCAUGGAGGAGCAUGAGCAACAUUUGAGGAUAGUGCUUCAGACUCUGAGGGAGCAAAAGCUUUAUGCUAAGUUCUCCAAGUGCGAUUUCUGGUUAUAUUCUGUGGAUUUCUUGGGUCAUGAUAUAUCAGGUGAGGGUAUUAAGGUGGAUCCCAGGAAGAUCGAGGCAGUUCAGAGUUGGCCUCGUCCUACCACGUCGACCAAGAUCAAAGGUUUCUUGGGGUUAGCAGAUUAUUAUCAUCGGUUUGUGGAGGGCUUCUCAUCUAUUGAAGCUCCUUUGACUAGAUUGACCUAGACGCGUGCUUAGUUCAGAUGGUCCGAUGAUCGCAAGGCGAUCUUUCAGAAACUCAAGACUGCAUUGACUACAACACUAGUGUUGGUUUUGCCCUUCGGUUCAAGAGUGUGUAUUGUUUAUUGUGAUGCUUCACGCAUCGGUUUGGGUUGUGUAUUGAUAUAGGAGGGGCGAGUUAUUGCAUAUGCUUCACGCCAGUUGAAUCCCCAUGAGAAGAAUUACCCUGUGCAUGAUUUGGAGUUGACUGCGAUAUUUCAUUCUCUUAAGAUCUAGAGGAAUUAUCUUUAUGGAGUGUCGUGCAAGGUUUAUACCGAUCACUGCAGUUUUCAGCAUCUGUUUAAGUAGAGGGAUCUUAAUAUGAGGCAGCGCAAGUGGCUUGAGUUACUAAAGGAUUAUGAUAUUACCAUCCUUUGUCAUCUGGGUAAGGUGAAUGUGGGCACGGAUGCUUUGAGCAGAAAGGCCGAGGUAUGGGUAGUUUAGCGUUCAUUUGAGCAGAGGAGAGGCCAUUGUCUUUGCACAUUCUGUCUUUAGCUAACUGACUUGUGAGAUUGGAUAUUCCAUAGCCUAGUCGAGUUCUUGCAUGUGUCAUGGCUUAGUCUUCUUUAUUUGAGCGGAUCAAGACUUGUUAGUACGAUGAUACGCACUUGCUGGUUCUUAGAGAGACGGUGAUAUGAGGUGAUGCCAAGGAGGUUACAAUCCGAGACGAUGGUGUUCUUCCCCAGGGUCGCUUAUGUAAUCCUAAUGUUGAUGGCCUAAGGGAGACGAUUGUAGAGGAGGCACACAGUUCGCGUUAUUCCAUUCACCCAGGAGGCAACAUUAGUGGUGGCAGUGGAUAAAGAAGGACAUAGUUUAAUAUGUGGAGAGAUGUUUAAAUUGCUAGCAUGUUAAGUACGAGCUAGUAUGUGGAGAGAUGUUUAAAUUGCUAGCAUGUUAAGUACGAGCACAAUAGGCUAGGUGGCUUACUUUAACAGAUGGUUAUACCAGAGUGGAAGUGGGAGCGCAUCACUAUUGUCACGCCCCAAUCCUAGAGAGGCGGGACCGGCACCCGAUCCCUCGCUUGACCGAGAGUACCAAUCUGAAACUGAGGGACUUUGAACAUACAAUGUGAUACUUUGGCCGCAGGGCCACAUUGCAGGAUAAUUUGUGAAACAAAAUUUAAAAAUGAAUGGAGACUAGCUCUAACUGAACAUCAGUAUAAACCUGGGCCGGUAAGGCCGUCAUACCUACUAUAGCUGACAAACCCAAAAAAAUAUACAUACAAGGCCUACGAGGCCAACAUACUACACUGAUUGACAUGAUAUGUCUACAAGCCUCUACUGAUAGUUGUGUUGUGGUCGGAACUGGGCCCCGACCUACCCAUGUAAUAUAUAUAUACACAUAAUAUGUACUCAAAACCCUAUACCCGACAAGUACGAAUGACGUGGAGCUUAUCGAUUGAGCUGAACUAGGACAACACCUAUUGAGGAGGUCUACCCUUUUGUCUAUCUGAACCCGCAUGCAUGAAAUGUAGCGUCCCUAGAAAAGGGACGUUAGUACGAAAUAAUGUACAGAGCAUGUAAGGAAAUAGAAUAAUUGAAAACUGAAACUGAACUGAUAAUAUAAUAACUGAAAGUAACUAGGAGUCAAAGAAGAUCUGAAGAUAUACUUACCUACUGAUACUAACUCAACUCUCUCAAUAUUAAGUAAAAUAGCUGUCUGACCUUAUAAGGCUCAGUACGUGUAACUUCUCGACUGUAGUAGGCUUGCGCAUAGGAGGUCGACCAUACUAGGCUCGGUAACUCGGCCAUUCUGUACUCUCCAAUAGGCGCUCCGCCACAAUAGGCUCGAUAUAUAACUUACCAUCUAAUCAGAGGUUGCCCAAUAGGGCCUGCCCCACCGAUUAUAUCUCGGUGGUGGUAAAAAUACUGUAAUACUAUAUAUAUAUAUAUAUAUNNNNNNNNNNNNNNNNNNNNNNNNNNNNNNNNNNNNNNNNNNNNNNNNNNNNNNNNNNNNNNNNNNNNNNNNNNNNNNNNNNNNNNNNNNNNNNNNNNNNNNNNNNNNNNNNNNNNNNNNNNNNNNNNNNNNNNNNNNNNNNNNNNNNNNNNNNNNNNNNNNNNNNNNNNNNNNNNNNNNNNNNNNNNNNNNNNNNNNNNNNNNNNNNNNNNNNNNNNNNNNNNNNNNNNNNNNNNNNNNNNNNNNNNNNNNNNNNNNNNNNNNNNNNNNNNNNNNNNNNNNNNNNNNNNNNNNNNNNNNNNNNNNNNNNNNNNNNNNNNNNNNNNNNNNNNNNNNNNNNNNNNNNNNNNNNNNNNNNNNNNNNNNNNNNNNNNNNNNNNNNNNNNNNNNNNNNNNNNNNNNNNNNNNNNNNNNNNNNNNNNNNNNNNNNNNNNNNNNNNNNNNNNNNNNNNNNNNNNNNNNNNNNNNNNNNNNNNNNNNNNNNNNNNNNNNNNNNNNNNNNNNNNNNNNNNNNNNNNNNNNNNNNNNNNNNNNNNNNNNNNNNNNNNNNNNNNNNNNNNNNNNNNNNNNNNNNNNNNNNNNNNNNNNNNNNNNNNNNNNNNNNNNNNNNNNNNNNNNNNNNNNNNNNNNNNNNNNNNNNNNNNNNNNNNNNNNNNNNNNNNNNNNNNNNNNNNNNNNNNNNNNNNNNNNNNNNNNNNNNNNNNNNNNNNNNNNNNNNNNNNNNNNNNNNNNNNNNNNNNNNNNNNNNNNNNNNNNNNNNNNNNNNNNNNNNNNNNNNNNNNNNNNNNNNNNNNNNNNNNNNNNNNNNNNNNNNNNNNNNNNNNNNNNNNNNNNNNNNNNNNNNNNNNNNNNNNNNNNNNNNNNNNNNNNNNNNNNNNNNNNNNNNNNNNNNNNNNNNNNNNNNNNNNNNNNNNNNNNNNNNNNNNNNNNNNNNNNNNNNNNNNNNNNNNNNNNNNNNNNNNNNNNNNNNNNNNNNNNNNNNNNNNNNNNNNNNNNNNNNNNNNNNNNNNNNNNNNNNNNNNNNNNNNNNNNNCAUGUAGUUACGGGAUCAUGCCAAAAUGAAGGAAAGGUUUAGAUUUAACAUACCUUAUCACAAUUUGUCCAAUAAACCACGUUGAAAUCGUCUCGUCGCACCUUAAUCUAAAACAACGAUAAUAAUAGUAUCAUCAAGUUGCGAAUGGUACAACUAUCUCACAACGAACGGCAAGCUUAUUUUAUAUAAAAACAGGCAGCACCUCCUCUAUAAUAUUUACUUGCUCCCAAUUCGCGACAACACCAACAACACAAGAGCACAAAAAUAAAAACAUAUAAUACAACAUUUUCCAACCUUAUAUCCAUCACGAAAUACCACAAAACAGCCCAACACACCCCAAUCACUCCAUACACAAAACGACAACCAUAGUAGUGUCAAAUAACCCGAAAAUGUUACGACGAAUGACCAGCGCACCAUCCUGCCAUUAUGUGGUGUUUCUCCAUACCCUUUAUCCUUCCAAACUCCAUGAAACAAUAGCAAAAUAGACAACCCAAUAACAACACGAAAUAGCCCAAAAAACAGUCCAUUACAAGUUAAAUAACCCGAACUCAUAGCUUCUGAUCACCGUCCAGUGAGUUCUUACAGUUAUAGAAUGAAUUUCUCUGCCUUUCCAGUAGAAAAAAAAAGGAUGAAAGAGGUCACACACUUACCUUAUUUGGUGAAGAUCUCAGCUCCUAACUUGGUUCUUCAACUCUUAGGUUUUCCUCCAACUACAACUUGAAAAGAAGAGAAAAUCAUUUAGGGUUUUGUGUUGAAUUUUUGGGAGAGGUUUACAGGGUUUUAUCUUUGAUUUCUUUCUUUACAAUGAGUGAAAAAUAUGAAGGAAAUCAGCCCUUAAAAGGGCUCUUUGGCUGACACCAACUAGCCCCUUUUUGUGGACAUAUUUGGUCUUUUUAUUUAAGCAAGUAGGUGACACACCUACUUGUCACCUAUUCAGUCGGCGCAGUCUCGCAAAAUCGCAAAUAGCUCUCUACUCCGAUGUUGUAUUGACAAACGGUUUAAUGUGUUGGAAAUUAGACUCGUAGAUAUUCAAUUUUGUGGAUGAAUCUCCCCGUAACUCUAAGUAUAUUGGGACAAAAUUGCAGUGACAUUAGACCUGAAUUUCAGUAAAACUUAUGAACGUAACUUGUGACGACCUUCAUCGAAUUUUGUUCCACCCCUCGCUUGACUUCAAAACUUAAAAUACGACCAUCAUACGACUAAAAUAACUCAUAAAAUAAAAUUAUUUUCAUUUUUAAGUACCCAAGUAUCCCCUCAAAGGUACGGGUUAUAACAUUCCCAACUUGUCAAAUUUCGACGAAAUUUAUUUUCUUCAAUUCGUUUAGCUUCUAAACCUUCCAACCCUCCUGGUACUUGUUGUUAAUGUACUUAAAUAUUUGUAAUCUCAAAGGUAACGUGAUUAACUUACUUUAUAUACUUUCAAAGAUGGUCUUAUUUUUUUAAUCUUACAUCAGUUUCCUUACGACGUACUUUUACAUACGAAAAUAUGGGGUGUAACAUCAUUCCCCCCUUUGGAAAAUUUGUCCUCGAAUGUUGAUUGAUGCGCUUAUCAUUACCCAACCUUCAAAAUACUUCCUUAACACAUGUUUUAACUCAUCAUUAUCUUGUUAAAGGUCCUUAAACUCUCAGACUUGUAUUGAUCUACUUAAGAUACAUUCUAACAUGAAAGUACCGGGUGUAACAUCCUUCCCUCUUAGGGAUAUUCAUCCUCGAAUGUUUAGUCUUAGAGACUUGAAAACAUUUUGCCAGAGUCUACUCUGUACACUAGACUAAAACCAACCUACACGUAGCCAGAAAAUAUACUAUACAUGCCACACAUGGCCAAUGCCUAUAAGUAGUAACACUGGUGUCACGCCCCAACCUUGGGGAGCGCGACCAAUGCUCGGCCGAGACAUCCCAGUAAAGCAAGCCUACUUAGUGCCUACCAUUCAACCAUACCCAUUAAUAAUUGAGUAUAAGUAUAAAAAGUUAAACCAAUAAAGAGAAUAGUAUGUACAACACCAGUUUUUUUUAAUUUUAUAAGGGCUUCAUUUUUCGAUUACCAAAAUAUUACAUGUUCAUAUUUUGGAAGUGGAACGUCCAACAAAUACAACAACAUCAUUGGUUUGUGAUCCCAAGUCAAAAUACAACCCACAAUAUGUCUAUGGAGUCUCUAUGUAAACAAGAGUACACUAUGAAAGUGAUGGCGACAAGGAUCCGGCUAUAUCUCAAAACACAAUGUGCAAAAUCAAAUGACAUAAGGCCUUGAAGUAGAAUAGGGCUCACCGAAUUAGCUGAGAACAGAUACACCUAUUAAGAACUCGAGCCUCCUAUUGCAGAGCCACAUGCAUCCAUUAAAGAUGCAUCUUCCAUGGAAAAAGAGACGUUAGUACAUAUGAAAUAGUAGUAUGUAAAGAUAAAUACCCUCUCAUGGAAUAGAAUUCCAACAUAAGAAGGAGAGAAUCACGAAAGCAGCAAGAAAAACCAAUAAUAUCCAAAUGCCAAGUUAAAACAUAAAUAAUUUUCAAAUAAGAAUUAACAUAUUUGAUUGGGAGAUCCUUAGUACCGACACACUACCAUGCCAAUAGAAUGGAGUCCGAUCUCUACCCAAUCAGCUAAGUCGUCUCACCCUAGAGUAUGAGGAUUGACAUAGAAACACAACACCACCAUGUGCACGACAUGGCGUCUGAUCUCUGCCCAAUCGGCUAAGCUGUAUCACCACAAUGUCGUGUGGAUCGACAUGGUCCUUGAUAUAUAUAUGAACUCAUCCCAAUCAAGGGGAAUAAUCUCAUUAUAACAACAACACGGGAACCUGUCCCUCAAUCAGCCCCUACACCGGCACGGGUAGUUUCAUGCUUGGGCAUUUAUAACCCAGCCUUCCUCGAUGACCUAACGAUACUCCCAAAACAUUUUCUAUAUAAAAUAAAUAUACUCAUAUCAUAACCUUUCAUAAGAUUUUUCAUUUCACUUGCACUUUUAGCCACACAUCACAAACCUUCAUUCUUGGCACGAUGGCCGCAUUUCACGUUCCAUACCUUCAUUCCUUUGCAUUGCCAUGGUUAAUCAUAAAGAAUUUAAAGUCAUUUAAACACUGAGAAAUUCAUAGCUUUAAAUCACAAGUACGUAAGAACCCAAAACACAUUGGAAAUAAUUACAAAUAGAGUUCAUAGUGAUUUCAAUGGAAUCAUGGAUUUAGGUCAUAAGCGGUUGAUAAAUCAAUCGUACUUGAAAUAUUUUAAACGAGAGAACAUGGAAUAAUGAGAGCAGUUAAAAUAUGACUUGGGUAGAUAAACAUUUGGUAAACCAAUCAUUUGUGGCAUUCGAUACGAUAGGAAUAGGAAUCCGAUUUUACGGAAGGAGUUUAGCCAACCUACCUCAAAUUCAUCCCUUAAUGAUACAACAAUGAUCCACUACACUAGGCAACAUCAAUCUACAAUAAAAACAUCCAAUGGGACCAAUGUUAGUAGCAAUUCCCACAAUUUAGUUCAUUUAAGAAUUUUAUCAAACACCCAGUACGCUUAAAUGUCUACAUGUCUUAACCAUAGAACUAGUUCAUCCAACUAUAACUAUUUAACAACAAUUUAUCCCACCAUCAUUCUUAAGCAAUUUAUAACUUCAAAUAUCACAUGCGUGUCUAACCAUCCACACCCAACCAACAAAAUUCUAUCAAAUAAUAACCCUUCAAUCUCUAGAAUGGCUAUGAAUUUAAAUUGGGAACUUUUGGCUUCCAAUCACAAUCCCAUAAGUUCCGUUACUUAAUUUGUACUCAUAUACUCAUAAUAGACCCAUGCAUGUAAGUCUAAGGGUGUAGGAUUACCUUUUGGAAGAAAUUUUGCAAAACCCUCCUUUGAGUUCUUGAAGAAGUUUUCUUGAACAUUUAAUGAUUUCAUGUUGUAUUGAGUUAGUUCUAGUGUGUAAAUGAUAGGAUUCACACUAAGACAAUGGGGAUUUCUUACCUUGAAGAUGGGAGGAGUUGGGGGUCUUGAGAGGGGAGGAAAGCUCCAAAAUUUGUCCAAGUGAAAUGGGAAAAAUGAACCCCCGAAAUGACUUAAAAGAAACCUCAAGCUGGGGCACACCCAGUCUGGCAAAGUGAGCUUCACUUCGCUUUCUACUGCAUGCAAGGGAAGACAGGAUCCUCACCCGGUCUGGCAAAGCGAGCCUUGCUUCGCUGUCCACAAAAAUAAUUGGGUGGUUUGACUUUAGUAAUUUGACCAUAACUUUUAGUAGGAAUGUCCAACUUAUGAACAACUUGAUGCAUUUCAAUCUAGACUCGAAGGGUUACGCUUUAGGGGCAAAAUUCAUGGAAAGUAUCUUUAUAUUUUAAGAGUUAUACCCUUUCAAAUUCAGGUGUAGUGCAAAUUUUGACAUCUUUUCCAUAUGUAUUUUCAUUUCAAAAUAAUGUGGUUCUAUCCCAUAGGUCACCUUUAGUACUCAAAAACAUUAUUUCUACUUAUCGUUGGUGCAUUAUAAGGUCUUAACUAUUUAGAAAAUUCUACCAAACCUUACAUCCUCCCCCACUUAGGAUCAUUCAUCCUAGAAUGAGGGUCAAAGUUCGCUAUAGACACUCAAUGUGACUCAACUCUUUAUUCACACCAAAAGUUCCAAAUUUGACUAACUCCCCAAAUAUCCAAAUAUUUCGGUAGAGUCACCCCUGUAUUUGGGCCUAUCCACCUAUCAGAGAGCUGUAGAAACCAAUCCUAAUAACAUAUUCAUAAGCCAAUGAUGUAACACAACAUGAAAACAACACCAACCAUAACCUCAUAGGCACUAUAUUAUCUAAAGGGGCUUUUAGCAUAACUGUACAAGUGGAACAUAAUUCAUAGAAAGUAAACUUCUAACAUUCAUUUAGAACAAAACUACUUAGUUACAAAACAAAUGAGGGUAUAUCCUUUUCAGCUCUUCCUCGGCUUUCCAGGUGGCCUUCUCAGUUUGCUGGUUUUGCCAUAGUACCUUCACGGAGGGAAUCUCUUUAUUCUAUAAUUUUCGGGCUUGCCUAUCAAGGAUGGAAAUCAGAAUCUGCUCAUAGGUCAAUUAUUCAUUAACUUCAAUAGUCUCUACUAGAACAAUGAGUGACGGGUCUCCAACUACCUUCUUCAAUAUGGACACAUGAAACACCUGGUGUAUUAAGGACAUCUUUGGAGGUAACUCCAGCUUAUAGGCCACUUGGCCAACCCUCUGCAAGAUUCUGUUCGGCCCGAUAUACCUUGGACACAAUUUCCCUUUCUUCCAAAAUCGCAUUAUACCCUUCAUGGGGGGAAUCUUCAAUAAUACCCAGUCAUCCUCUUUGAACUUCUAAUCUCUGCGACGCACAUCUGAAUAGGACUCUUUGCGACUCUAAGAAGUUUUCAACCAUUCAUUAAUGAUCUUAACCUUCUUCAUAGCCUGAUGCACAAGGUCUAGCCCUAUCAAUUCUGCAUCCCCAACUUCGAACCAACAAAUGGGAGAUCUACAUCUCCUAACAUAUAAAGUUGUACUAAGAUUUACCUGUGGGAGAUCUACAUCCCCAUCCAAUGACAGAUAUACAUCCUAACCGAACGGCGCCUUCCGUCUGUGGAUGAAAAGUUGUACUAAGAUUUACCUAUGUACCCAAACCUUGCUGGAAUUUCUGCCAAAGGUUAACAGUGAAUUAUGCUCCUCGAUCCGAGAUGAUAGAAAGAGGAGUGCCAUGCAACCUAACGAUCUCUUUGAUGUACAACUGAGCAUAGUGUUCUGAUGUGUCGGUAGUUUUAGAAGGCAAGAAGUUUUCUGAUUUCGUGAAUCGAUCCACAGUCACCCAAAUUGAGUCGAACUUGUGAGACGUGCGAGGUAGACCUACCACAAAGUCCAUAUUGAUAAUCUACCACUUUCACAUUGGAAUUUCUACAUUUGCGCCAACCCAUCGGGCCUUUGGUGCUCAGCCUUCACUUGCUGACAGUUUGGAUAUCUUGCCAUAAAGUUCGCUGCAUCCCUCUUCAUGUCAUUCCACCAGCAGACCUCCUUGAGGUCAUGAUACAUCUUUGUAGAUCUUGGAUGUAGGUAUACCUGGAACUAUGAGCAUUGAUCAUGAUUCUCUCCCGGAGACCAUCAACAUUCGAAACACACAAUUGCCCUUGGUACCUUAGCGUGCUAUCAUUCGUGCCAAUAGAAAAAGUCAUGUUUUUUUGUUUAUGAAUUCCAUCCUUCAACUGCACCAAUAACGAAUCAUCAUAUUGUUUCUCUUUGUCUACUACAAGUGAUAGUUCAGCCCUAUUUUUCAUAAUCACCACACCUUCACUAGAGUUCGCAAGCCAAACUCCCAAACUAGCCAACCUGUGAACCUCCUUGGCUAACGGCCUUUGGUAUGCUUCCAAGUGGGCCAAACUACCCAUAGAUUUCCGGUUAAGAGCAUCCUCCACAACAUUAGCCUUCCCCGGAUGAUAUAGAAUAUCGAUGUCAUAGUCCUUGAGUAAUUCAAGCCAUCUUCUCCACUCAGAUUCAAUUCCUUGUGCUUGAAAAUAUAUUGAAGGAUCUUAUUAUCAGUGAAUAUGUCAGCAUGGACCCCAUACAAAUAAUGAAGCCAAAUCUUCAAUGCAAAUACAACCAUCGCAAGCUCUAAGUCAUGUGUUGGAUAAUUCUUCUCAUGAUUCUUGAGUUGCCUAGAAGCAUAAGCGAUCACUUUACCAUGUUGUAUCAAUACACACCCAAGCCCGAUCCUUGAAGCAUCACAAUAUAUCACAAACCCAUCCGUACCCUCCGGGAAGAUCAACACUGGUGCCGUAGUCAAUCUUGACUUCAACUCUUGGAAGCUCUUUUCACAAGCAUCUGACCUUUGGAACUUUAAUGCCUUUUGCGUCAAUUUAGUCAACGGAGAGGAAAAAGUAGAGAACCCCUCUACAAACCUCAUGUAAUACCCAGCUAAGUUCAAUAAAUCUAGAAUCUCCACUGGAGUUGUAGGUCUAUGCCCAUUCUUCGCAGCUGCAAUCUUCUGAGGAUCAACCUUGAUUCCCUCACUAGAGACGAGAUGACCCAAAAAGUGACAGAUUCAAGCCUAAAUUCACACUUUGAAAACUUUGCAUACAACUUGUGCUGAUUCAGAAUUUGCAAAACUGCUCCAAGAUGAUCUCCAUGGUCCUCCCGACUUCCCAAAUACAUAAGGAUGUCGUCAAUGAACACUAUCACAAAAAGUAAAGGAAUGGCUUGAAGACUCGAUUCAUAAGAUCCAUGAAAGUUGUUGGGGCAUUUGUUAGCCCGAAAUAAAUUACCAAAAAUUCAAAGUGUCCAUACCGGGUCCUGAAUGUUGUUUACGGAAUAUCCCACUCCCUAAUCUUCAGUUGAUGAUACCCCGAUCUUAGGUCAAUCUUGGAUAAGUACUUAGCAUCUUGUAACUGAUCAAACAAGUCAUCUAUCCUUGGCAGUGGGUACUUAUUCUUGAUUGUGACCUUGUUGUGCUACCGAUAGUCAAUCCACAUCCUCAAUGACCCAUCCUUCUUCCUUACAAAGAGAACCGGUGUGCCCCAAGGAAACACACUCGGCCAGAUGAAACCCUUUUCUAGAAAAUAUUUCAAUUCCUCCUUCAGUCCUUCAAUUCUGCCGUGCCAUUCUGUAUGGUAGAAUUGAUAUUGGCUGCAUGCCUGGCAGCACAUCGAUCCCAAAGUCAAUCUCCCUUUCUGAUGGGAUCCCAGGUAGCUCAUCAGGAAAGACCUCUGGGAAUUCAUUCACAAUUGGCACAAACUCAAGUGUAGGUACCUCAACAUCGAAGUCCGUGACUCAGAACAAAUGGUACAUACACCCCUUGUUGAUCAUCUUCGCGGCCUUGAGGUAAGAAAUAAACCUACCCUUCGGCACCAUAUCAUCCCCCUUCCACUCAAUGACUGGCUCGUUCGAAAAUUCAAACCUAACGGUUCUGGUUCAACAAUCAAGCUUUGCAAAAUAUGGGUGAACCCAGUCCAUCCCCAUUGUCAUAUCAAAAUCUACAAUCACCAAUUCAAUAAGAUCGGCGUGGUUUUUCAACCAUGAACUGUGAUAAUACAGUCCCUAUAAACCCGAGUGGCCACAAUAUACUCACCAACUGGGGUAGAUACGGAGAACGACUUAGGAAGCUAUUCUGGUUUAUCUCGAAUUUCAUAGAAACAUAAGGAAUGACAUAUGACAAAGUGGAACCAAGAUCUAUAAGAGCAUAUACAUCAUGAGAUUGGAAAGUCAAUAUACCCGUGACAACAUCUGGAGAAGUCUCUGAACUUUGGCGACCCCUCAAAGCAUAGAACCUGCUGGGUCCUCCCAAACUCUGUGCACCACCCCUAGCUGUGCCAUGCCUUGCGGGUGUCGAAGCACCUCUAGCUAGAGGAGGUGCUGUAAAAGUGGUGGCUGCUGAACUGGCUUGGCUGCACUAUACCCCUACCAGUGCUCUGAUGUGACGAAUGGCAAUUUCUCUGAAUAUGACCUCUAAGGCUGCAUCCGUAGCAUACAUGAUUGUCCAUAUAGCACACUCUUGAGUGCAUCUUUCCACACAUAUGGCAUGUGGGCCUCUGUUGCGGCUGGAAUCUCCUACUGGACUGACCCUGCUGAUAAGAUCCAUUUUUACCCUGACUAGGCCUGAAGCGAGUCCACUGCUGUUGAGUUAGCCAUGAUGGCAUGGGACUGGCUGAAGACUGAGCAAAAGAUUGUGUCGGUGCAGAUGACCCUCCCCUGAACAUCACCUUCCCACCACCACCACUACUGAAAGAACCACCAAAGUUACUCGUGGAUCGAGCCUUCUUAUUACCAUCUCGCUCCAUCCCGGCCUUCAAUUUUCGAGUCUCUAAGGCUUGAUCAAAUGCCUCCAUAUUCACGUAGUCCAUGUCGGAAUUCAAGGCGACAGUAAAGGCCUCAUUGAUAACCCAGGGCUAAGGCCUUUCACAAACCGGGGCGCAAAUUUCAUAUGGUAAUCCCACAUGCUUAUAUUACCUUGCUUCAAGUUCUCAAACUCUACGGCACGGGCUACACUACUCUCAGCAUGCAAGAAAUGGUUAAUGAAAGCAUCCGCAAACUCCCCCACUUUGUCGGAGGGCUACCCUCUUCACGGGACUCCUCCCACAACUCAAACCAUGAAUAGGCCACCUCCUUAAGUCGAUAAGAGGCUAACUCCACUGCUUCUAUUUCUGUGGCACACAUUACGCGGAGAGUCUUAUGCAUAUCAUCAAUAAAGUCCUGGGGGUCAUCCUCGGGAUUAGUACCCUUGAAAAUCGGAGGAUCCAACUGAAGAAAUCGUUUCACCCUGAAACUAGCUGGAUCCCCUUACUGGCUAGAGGAGGUAGAUGUUCCAUUCAAUCUCUGAGCUUGGGAAGCCACUAUCUGAGUCAACAUCUGAUGGCACCCCUAAUAGGUCCCCAUCAGAAACACUAAGACCGGGAGUUGGGGCUGGAGGUGGGACCGGAAUAUCAGCUGGAGGAGGAAUCGUUGCAUUUUCAGCAGGAGUAGUAGAAUCAGGAAGGGUUGUAGUUAAGGGCAUAUCUUCACCCCUUGGGUGCUCACCUGUAACAUCAAGUAUCUCAUUAACUGCCACACCUGGGGUAUCAUUGGCCCUUUCCACUCAUUGCCUUCUUCUUAGGUGCCAUACACUGACCAUUAGAACAAUGCACGAGUUAAAUAGGUCGAACAGUCUUACAGUCAACUAUAUCGCAUGAUCUAGAAUAUCAAAGAUGUGUGACAUUCCUAAAUGCCCAAAUAGCCUCCUAAUUAUAGAUGUGGUCGGCAACACACCGAUAAGAAGGACUCUACUAUACACGGUUCCAAGACAUCCGCGGACACUAUAAAACCUUAGGCUCUGAUUCCAAGAUUUUCACGCCCCGACCUUGGGGAGCACGACCGGUGCUCGACCGAGACAUCUCAGUCAAGCAAGCCUACUUAGCGCCUACCAUUCAACCAUACCCAUGGAUAAUUGAGGAUAAGUAUAAAGAGUUAAACCAAUCAAGAGAAUAGUAUGUACAACACCAAAUUUGUUUUAUAAGAUCUUCAUUUUAUGAUUACCAAAAUAUUACAUGUUCAUAGUUUAGAAGUGGAACAUUCAACAAAUACAACAACAUCAUUGGUUUGUGAUCCCAAGUCAAAAUACAACCCACAAUACGUUUACGGAGCCUCUAAGUAAACAAGAGUACACUAUGAAGGUGCUGGUGACAAGGCAACAGCUAUACCCCAAAAAAUAAUGUGCAAAAUCAAAUGACAUAAAUUCUUGAAGUAGAAUAGGGCUCACCGAAUUAGCUGAGAAGAGAUACACCUAUUAAGAUUUCGAGCCACCUACAUACAUUAAAGAUGCAGCGUCCAUGGCAAAAGAGACGUUAAUACAUAUGGAAUAGUACUAGUAUGUAAAGCUAAAUACCCUCUCAUGGAAUAGAAUUCCAACAUAAGAAGGAGAGAAUCACGAAAGCAACAAGAAAAAUCAAUAAUAUCCAAAUGCCAAGUUAAAACAUAAAUAAUUUUCAAAUAAGAAUUAACAUAUUUGGUUGGGAGAUCCUUAAUACUGAAACCCCACCAUGCCAAGGGAAUGGAGUCCGAUAUCUGCCCGAUCGGCUAAGCCAUCUCACCCCAAAGUAUGAUGAUUGACAUAGAAACACAACACCACCAUGUGCGCGACAUGCGUCCGAUCUCUGCCCGAUCGGCUAAGCUGUCUCACCACAAUGCCGUGUGGAUCGACAUUGUCCUUGCUAGCUAUCAACUCAUCCCAAUCAAGGGUAAUAAUCUCAAUAUUACAACAAUACAAGAACCUAUCCCUUAAUCAUCCCUUACAUCGACACGUGUACUUUCAAGUUUGGGCAUUUAUGACCCAACCUUCCUCGGCGACCUAACGAUACUCCCAAAACAUUUUUUGUAUAAAAUAGAUAUACUCAUAUCAUAACCUUUCAUAAUAUCUUUCAUUUCAUUGGCAUUUUUGGCCACACAUCACAACCUUCAUUCUUGGAACGAUGGUCGCAUUUCAUGUUCCAUACCUUCAUUCCCUUGUAUUGGCAUGGAUAAUAAUAAAGCAUUUAAAAUCAUUUAAAACAUAGAUAAAUUCAUAGCCUUAACUCACAAGAACAUAAGAACCCAAAACAUAUUGGAAAUAAUUACAAAAGGAGAUCAUAGUGAUUUCAGUGGAAUCAUAGAUUGAGCUCAUAAGCGGUUGAUAAAUCAAUCGUACUUGAAAUAUUUUAAAAGAGAGAACAUGGAAUGAUGAGAGCUGUUAAAACAUGACUUGGUUAGAUAAAUAUUUGGUACAUCAAUCAUUUGUGGUAUUUGAUACAAUAAGAAUAGGAACUCGGACAAACCAUACUUGGAACUUUAUACAUAGAUCAUGGAAUUCGAUUCUACAGAAGGAGUAUAGCCAACGUAUCUCAGAUUCAUCCCUUAAUGAUACUACAAUGAUCCACUACACUAGGCAACUUCAAUCUACAAUAACAACAUCCAAUGGGACCAAUGUUAGUAGCAAUUCCCACAAUUUAGGCCAUUUAGACAUUUUAUCAAACACCUAGUAGGCAUAAAUCUCUACAUGUCUUAACCAUAGAACUAGUUCAUCCAACUACCACCAUUUACCAACAAUAUAUCCCACCAUCAUUCUUAAGCAGUUUAUAACUUCCAACAUCACAUGCGUGCCCAACCAUCCACACCCAAGCAAAAAGAUUCCAUCAAAUAAUCACCCUUCAAUCUCUACAAUGGCUAUGAAUUUAAAUUUGGAACUUACGGCUUCCAAUCACAAUCCCAUAAGUUCCAUUACUUAAUUUUUAUGCAUAUACUCAUAAUAGACCCAUGCAUGUAAGUCUAAGGGUGUAGGAUUACCUUUUGGAAGAAAUCUUGCAAAACCCUCCUUUGCGUUCUUGAAGAAGUUUUCUUGAAAAUCUAAUGAUUUCAUGUUGGAUUGAGUUAGUUCUAGUGUGGAAAUGAUAGGAUUCAAACCAAGACAAUGGGGAUUACUUACCUUGAAUAUGGGAGGAUUUGGGAGUCUUAAGAGAGUGGUAGAAAUCUCCAAAAUUCAUCCAAGUGAAAUGGGGAAAAUAAGCCCCCGAAAUGACUUGAAAGAAACCGCAAGCCGGGGCGCGCCCAGUCUGGCAAAGCGAGCCUUGCUUCACUGUCCACCAAAAUAACUAGGUGGUUUGACUUUAGUAAUUUGAUUAUUACCUUUGGUAGGCAUGUCCAAAUAACAACGACUUGAUGCGUUUGAUACUAGACUUGAAGGGAUACACAUUAGAGGCAAAAUUCAUUGAAAAUAUCUUUAUAAUAUAAGAGUUAUACCCGUUCAAACUCAGGUGUAGUGCAAAUUUUGACAUCUUUUCCACUUAAUAUAUCCAACUCAUUCCAAGAAACUUCUUCCCACUUACAAACCUCCUUAAUAUCUUCCGAAACACUUUCCAUAUGUAUUUUCAUGUCAAAAUAAUGUGGUUCUAUCCCAUAGGUCUCCUUUAGUACUCAAAAACAUUAUUCCCAAUUAUCGUUGGUGCACUAUAAGAUCUUAAAUUAUUAGAAAAUUCUACAGGGACUUAUAACUUGGCCUCACACGCCCGUCAAUCAUAAGUAUUGCAAGUUACAAAAUAAGAGGUCACCUCAUGACCUACUGGUCUGAGUCGGGCUAUGCUGUAAUAUCCCAUAUCGAGCUAUAUCUUUAGUUUGAAAUAUGUAUGGGUAUUUAGACUUUGUUUCUUCCUCCGCUUCCCACAUUAUCUCUUCCACGUUCUUGAUUCUCUGUAAAAUGUUCACGGAGGCUACCUCCUUAUUUCGUAGCUUGCUAAUUUGUUGGUCUAGGAUGGAAACUGGAACUUCCUCGUAAGAUAAGUACUUCGUGAUCUGUACAUCAUCAGUGGGCACUAGUCGGGUAGAAUCCCCAAUGCACUUCUGUAGCAUAGAUACGUGGAAAAUCGGAUGAGCAAACUCCAAUUCUGAGGAAAAAUCUAACUCAUAAUCUACUCAGCCCACUCUUCGAAUAAAUCUAUAAUGCCCAAUAUACCAUGGGCUAAGCUUGCCUUUCUUACCAUACCUCAUCACACCCUUCAUGGGAGACACCUUUAAGAAUACCCAGUCAUCAACCCCAAACUCUAAGUCUCGUUGCUGCACGUCAGAAUAUGACUUCUGACGACUCUGAGCUGUCAAUAGUUGCUCCUGGAUAAGCUUUACCUUCUCUAUGGCCUUCUAAACCAAGUCUGGCCCAUGUAACCCAGAUUCUCCAACAUCAAACCACCCUAUAGGAUAUAUGCACUUACGCCCAUANNNNNNNNNNNNNNNNNNNNNNNNNACGACCCCGGUAUCUGAGAACCCCAUCUUCCUUGAGCUCUAACAACAACUUCUUCUGCUGUGGAACUCUCUCUCUCAACUCGACCAACUCUGGGUCCUCGUACUACCUUUCCUUUACUUCAACUAUGAGAGAUGAUUUUGCAGUGUUCUGGAGUACAACUCCACCAUCGUCAGAAUCUAUUAACCGAACCCCCAAACAAGCUAAUUGAUGAAGCUCUCUAGCUAAUUUUCUUUUCUCGGCCUCUACAUGUGCUAAGCUACCCAUAGAUCGGCGACUUAAGGCCUAAACUACAACAUUAUCUUUCACUGGAUGGUAGAGAAUGUUAACGUCAUAAUCUUUCAAUAAGUCUAACCAUCGCCUCAAUCGGAAAUUCAACUCCUUUUGCUUCUAGAUAUAUUGCAGGUUUUAAUGAUUUGUAAAUGUGUCCACAUGAACACCAUAUAAAUAGUGUCGCCAUAUCUUAAGUGCAUAGAUAACCGUAGCUAACUCGAGGUCGUGGGUAGGAUAAUUCCUCUUUUUCUUCCUCAACUUCCUGGAAGCAUACGCAAUUACCUUCCCAUGUUUCAUCCGGACACAUCCUAACCCGACACCUGAGGCAUCGCAAUACACGACAUAACCCUCUGGACCCUCUAGAAGUGUUAGAACUGGCACUGAGGUCAACCUGUUCUUAAGCUCUUGGAAACUCCGCUCGCAAGCCUCUGUCGACUGAAACUUAGUUUCUUUCUGAGUCAGCUUCGUCAAUGGUGCCGAAAUGAAAGAAAAACCCUUUACAAACCUCCGGUAGCAGCCCACUAAGCCUAGAAAGCUACGGACCUCUGUCGGAGUAGUUGAUCUAGGUCAGGAUUUCACGGCCUCAAUCUUCUGAGUGUUUACCUUUAUACCUUUAUCAAAUACAAUAUACUCCAAGAAUGCUACAGACUUCAACUAGAACUCACAUUUAGAAAACAUAUCAUACAACUUAUGAUCCCGAAUGGUUUGGAGUACAGCUAGCAGGUGGUUUGCAUGCUCCUCCUCUAAACGUGAAUAAACCAGAAUAUCAUCAAUAAAUACUAUCACGAAAAGAUCGAAAAUGGAUGAAAUACGCUAUUCAUCAAGUCCAUAAAUACGACGGGUGCAUUUGUCAACCCGAAGGACAUGACAAGGAACUUGAAGUAGCCAUAUCGGGACCUGAAGGUAGUUUUCAAAAUAUCUUUCUCCCGAACUCCGACCUGAUGGUACCCUGACCUCAAAUCUAUCUUUGAAAAGCACCUAGCCCCUUGCAACUGAUCAAACAAGUUAUUACUCCUUGGAAGUGGAUACUUAUUCUUAAUACUAACCUUGUUCAGCUACCUACAAACAAUACACAUCCUCAAAGAUCCGUCUUUCUUCUACACAAAUAGUACCGGUGCACCCCAUGUGAGGUACUGGGUCUGAUGAAACCUUUCUCCAGCAAAUCUUUUAGCUGCUCCUUCAAUUCCUUCAAUUCAACAUGAGCCAUUCUAUGCGGAGGUAUGGAUAUUGGUUGAGUUUUCAAAAGCAAAUUGAUGCUAAAAUCAAUCUCUCGCUCUGACAGAAAACCUAGAAGCUCAUCUAGAAACACAUCUGCAUACUCUCUGACUAAUGAAAUCGACUAAAGUGUUGGUAUCUCAGCAUCUGCAUCUCUAACUCGCACAAUAUGAUAAAUGCACCCUUUUGUGAUCAUUUUCCUCAUAUUCAAAAAGGAAAUAAACCUACCUUUAGGUGUCGCUGCAUUACCGACCCAUUCAAGGACUGGCUUACCCGAAAAAUGAAAUCUGGCAGCCUUUGCUCGGCAAUCAACUGUGGCAUAGCAAGCUUCCAACCAGUCCACGCCCAUGAUAACAUCGAAAUCCAGCAUUACUAGCUCAAUUAGGUCGGUUGAGGUCUGAUGAUUACAAACUGUCACCGUACAACCUCGGUAAACCCGUCUAGCAAUAAUCGGUUCUUCGACCGGUGUAGAUAUCACAAAAGGAUCACUUAGUAUUUCAGGAACUAUACCAAACUUCCCCACGACAAAACAUGGUAAUAUACGAUAAAGGUAAUAUCCUAGAUCUAUGAAGGCAUAGGCAUCGUGAGAGCAAAUGGUCAAUAUACAUGUCACAAAGUCUGGUGAAUUAUCCUGGUCAUGUCGACCCGCUAAAGAAUAGAUCUGGUUCUGAUUACCACUUGAAUUGGAACCUCUACCUCUGCCUCGACCUCUACCAACCAAAGACUGAAACUCGCACCCUGAAGGAUGAACGAACAUAGAUGAUCUUGCUACUGAAUUUGUUGGUUGUGCCAAACCCCCAGAAUAUCUACUUGGGCAAUCUAGCAUCAUAUUCCCCGGACGCCCACAUAUAACAAGCGUCGGAACCUACUCAGCAUUGGCCUAUGUUUCCUCUACCACAUAUGUCACACUGCGGUGGAAAUGACCAUGUUUUCCCUGAACCUCACUGUCGCUGCAACCCUGACGCCCGUGAGCUCUCACCUGGUCCUGACUUAGCAUAUCGGUCAAAAUCUGUAACCCUGUGAGUGAGGUGGUGGAGGCCUAAGUGGCCAUCCAAAAUACUGGGGCCUAUUACUACCCUGAGACUGAUAUCAUCCUAUUACGCAGCCCUUGCUUACUCCUCUUGUACCCUGCUACAGACGCCUGACUUUUCUAUCUAGGCGAAUGCCUGAAUUCAGGAGAUAUCCAUACUAUCCCAUAAUGCAGCUGCAGCACAUGACUCGGUCAACUCUCGGGCCAACCCUGCUAUAAACCUGUGGAUCUUGUCCCACAUAGUAGCAACUAUGGAUGGAGCACAUCUGGCCAAUGAGUCAAAACAGAGACUAUACUCUCGAAUGCUCAUAUUGCACUGCUUAAGGGCUAGAAACUUAUAGACUCGAGCCUGUCGGAUCUGCCGCGAUAAGUACUGGUCAAGGAAGGCAUUUGAAAGAUUCUCCCAAAUAGCUGGAGGGGCAUCACGUCCCCUGGACCUCUCCCAUCCCUCGUACUAAAGGACGGUUAUACCUCGGAGUCAAAAAGCUGCCACCUCAACUGCCUCUUUCUCCGUGGCAUGCAUAACCCAAAAUUUGAGAAGGACGUGCACAAUAGGCUAGGUAGCUUACUUCAGCAGAUGGUUAUACCAGAGUGGAAGUUGGAGCGUAUCACUAUUGUCACGCCCCAAACCUGGGGAGGUGAGACCGGCACCCGAUGCCUCACUUGACAUAGCGUACCAACCAGAGACUGAGGGACUCUAAACAUAAAAUGUGAUACUUUAGCCGCAGGGCCACAUUGUAGGAAAAUUUAUGAAACAAAAUAUAAAACUGAAUGGCGACUAGCUCCAACUGAACAUCAGUAUAAAGCUUAGCCGGCAAGGCCAUCAUAACUACUACAACUGACAAACCAAAAAAUAAAAUAUACAUACAAGGCCUACGAGGCCAACAUACUGCACUAAUUAACAGGAUAUGUCUACAAGACUCUACUAAUGGUUGUGCUGUGGUCGGAACAUGGCCCCGACCUACCCAUGCAAUAUAUAUAUAUAUAUAUAUAUAUAUAUAUAUAUAUACACACACACAUACACACACAUAAUAUGUACUCAAAACCCUAGACCCGGUAACUCCGAAUGACGUGGAGCUUACCGAUCGAGCUGAACUCGGACAACACCUACUGAGGAGGUCUACCCGCAUGUCUAUUUGAGCCUGCAGGCAUGAAAUGUAGUGUCCCUAGAGAAGGGAUGUUAGUACGAAAUAAUGUAUCGAGUAUGUAAGGCAAUAGAAUAACUGAAAGCUUAUUGAACUGAUAAUAUAAUAACUAGUAACUAUGAGUCAAAGAUGAUCUGAAGAUAUACUUAUCUACUGAUACUGAUUGAAGUCUUUCAAUAUAGUAAGUAAAAUAGAUGUCCGACCCUAUAUGGCUCGGUACAUGUAACUGCUCGGCUAUAGUAGGCUCGCUCAUAGGUGCUCUAUACUAGGCUCGGUAACUCGGUCAUUCUAGGCUCGCUCAUAGGUGCCCGACCACAGCAGGCUCGAUAUAUAACUUACCAUCUGAUCGGAGGUUGCCCAAUAGGGGCCUGCCCAUAGAUUAUAAUUCGGUGGUGGUGAAAAUACUGCAAUACUACAAAUAUAUAUAUAUAUAUAUAUAUAGAUAUAUAGACCCUCUGCUCUUUUGACUGAAAGAAGAGUAGACUUAACUGAAUAUAAAGUCCCAAAAAGGGAGAUACUUUAACUUAUGAGAGUAGGAUAAUGUAGAUGAAUUCAGGAGUAUGAACUUCUCGUUAUGUCUUGUUAUCAAACACAUGUAGUCCAAUCCGACUCCGUAUCGAUGUUUAAAACGUAAAAAUUCACUUUAGAAAAGUUUUGACAAAACCGCAAUUUCUCUUGUUAAAUCCAAUGUUUUGAUGUUAAAUCUAGUGAUGGAUUCAUGUAAAUCUCAUAGAUAUAUGUUAGAAUCACUUACCCCAAGCUUGUAGAUGAAGGUCUAAGUUGAAACCCUUCAAACGCGAACUCCCAAGUCUCUAAAGUGGUGAAGAAUGAAAUAAAAGUCCAAAUAUCCUGUCUAUAUAGUACAAGAUCUGAUCUCCUAUAGUGCUGACCGCACAUUUUUUUGUGUGGUCCACGCUUCAAAGUUUUGUGGCCGCAAUCCAUAUUGUGCGGCCGCACUUCAGCAGCAACACUACAAUCUUCAGUAAACUGACCAUAACUUUCUGACAUAAAUUUUCAAAUGAUGAACGGUUUAAUUUUCUCGAAACUAGACUCAAAUAACAACAAAAUACAUUUUUGAACCAUCUCCAAAUUCCUUAUAGAUUGGAAGACAUAAGAUCCCGAAAUCGGACCAACAAACCUGCAGAUUUCCUGUUGCGGCCCUCAGUGUGGUCCGCACUUUGACCAAUGCCUCCGUACUCUCGUGUUUGUGGCCGCACUUGAGGCUUUGCCUCAGCACUCCAAAAGUUCCCUCAGCACUCCAAAAAGUGCCCUCCGCACUUCUACAUCUCCAGGACAUCAUCAAAGUGCCGAAAUACCAAAACUUAUUAAAAACUCACCCGAACCUCUUAGGACCCCGUCCAAACAUACUAAUAAGUCCCAUAACAUAACAUAAACCUACUUGAGGUCUCAAAUCGCACAUAAAAAUAUUAAAAUCAUGAAUCACACCUCAAAUCGAACUUAAUGACCGUUUGAGCUUUUAACUUCCAAAAUUCGUGCCGAACCAUAUCAAAUCAACUCGGAAUGAACUCAAAUUUUGCACACAAGUUCCAAAUGACAUAACGAAGCUAUUCCAUUUUCCGGAACCACAAUCUGAACCCAAUAUCAUCAAAGUCGACUCCCCGUCAAACUUAUGAACAUUCCAAACCUUCAAAUUUUCAACUUUCGCCAAUUAGUGCCGAAACCUUCUAGAAACAUCCAAAUGCAAAUCCGGGCAUACGACCAAGUUUAAAAUCACCAUUAAGACCUAACGGAACCAUCAAAACUCCGAUCCAUGUCAAAUACACAAAAGUCAAACUUGGUCAACUCUUUUAACUUAAAGCUUCUAAGAUGAGAAUCAUUCUUCCAAAUAAAUUCCGAAUCACCCAAAAUCAAAAAUCGACAAUACACACAAGUCAUAAUACCUCAUACGAAGCUACUCAUGCCCUCAAACCAUCGAAUGAAGUGCAAAUUCUCAAAACGAUCUGUCGGAUCAUUACAAUGCCGCCGUUAGUCAAGUCCACACGUAAACCUCCAAUUUAAAGAUUCCUUUUUAACUUUUUAAAAAUAGAAGUUUCCUUAAGUACACCGAAUAAAGUGAAAUGUCAUGCAACCAAACAUACUUCUUUCUCGAAAAUAUCAAGAGUGAAUAAUACAUAAACCACGGUGAUAAUAAUAUAAGUACAACAAUGCAUAAAUGCUAGAAGCCCCCAAAACCCGGUGCCACAAGUACAUGAGUAAUCUAGGGAAUAUACAAAACUACUACGACUAUUGUCCGAAGUAAAAUAGACAGAAACAGUAAACAAGGUAGAGGGAGACUCCGGUGCUGCAGAUCGAAACAAGGCAAGUAGUUCACCACUAAGUCUCCCUAAAAGUGCGGCUACGAGCCCGUGAGACCACUGGUAGUAUCUGUUUCAGUACCUGCACAUUCAGUGCAGAAGUGUAGCAUGAGUUUGUAAAAUAACGCGUACCCAGUAAGUAUCUAGUCUAACCUCGAAGAAGUAGUGAUGAGGGGUCGACUUGAAACUUACUAGUGGUCAAACAAUAAUAGAAGGCAUAAAGUAGACAUGGAGGAUAUACAAUAAGUAACGAUGAAAUAGAUAAAACAUCAAUAGUAAAUUUCCAACAAGAAUCUAUAUCAACUCACUAAAAUGUCAUAACCGGCCACGAAUGCGCUAAUUCAACUAUUACCAAAACCAAAUCCUGUUACAACCCAUAUUCGCGUACAUUAAAUCACGCCGUAUGUUAGUCAUUGUAAGUCCGAGAAGAGACUAUCAUUGAGAUGAUAAGAAGUUAAUCAUAUUGGUCUUAAAUGAUACAAGGGUGUAUAAGAGUGGUUAACAAGUAUGAGAAGUUAGAAGUAAAACGAAUCAAGGAUGUUGUAACCCAUAUUUUCGAGUAAAACUAGAGGUGCUUAAUAUGAUAAGGAGGUCGUGUUUUAAGGUAUUUUAAUCAUAUAACAUUCGUAUCAUAAGUCUUGAAGUCAAGCGAGUUAUGAAACAAAAGUCAACAAAAGUUGUCUAACUUACGUUCAUAAUUUUACUUAAAAGUUAGGUCUAAUGUUACUAAGAUUUUCUCUCAAUGUACUUGAAAUUAUGGGGUGAUCCACCUACAAAAUUGAAUAUCUAUGAGUCUAGUUUCCAACACAUUAAAUUGUUUGUCGAUACAAAAUCGGAGUAGAGAGAUAUUUGCGUUUCCGCGAGACUGCACAAAUAGCUCUCUAUGGGACCCACAUAGGCGGUUGAGAUAUAUUGAUAUAUAUGAGAUGCCUAAAGCCCAUUUUAACUCAUUAGUUUUCACUCUAUUCAGACUUCAGACACCUAAAAGCUUUCUCUCAAGGUUCUCUCAUGAUCCAAGACCCAAACAAAGGGCAAACAAUACAAAUCAAGUGUCGGGAAUCCCGUGGCGCUAGUGAGUUUCUUGUUCUUCUUGUUGUUGCUGAUUUUUGUGUGGUUCAAGAUCGCGUGGGAGGUUGUUUUAAGUGGUUUAAGUUCUGUAAAAUACUCUCUCAAUUUCUUAAUAUCAAACCUAGGUGAUUUCAAGUCUUCCAAAGUGAUUCUAGUGCCGAAAAACAUGAAUUAAUUGCUAGUUUCGCUUCCUUGUUCGUGUGGUGGCAUUGGAAGGAUAUUUCGUGGUGAAGUAAGGUAAAAUUGGAAUUCUUAUGUCUUUUUGAAUGUAACGGUCUUCUUACUCUAUAUGUAUUUAAGCUUAUCUAAGUUGUGGCUAAGUCAUUGAAGCUAGAACUUGUGAGAUAUCGAUCGAAAGGCUUGUUAGUAAUGUUGCUGAUUGGUGGACUGUUUUGGGAGGCUUAAUAUGAUUAUUAUUGAUGUUGUUUAGGAUGUUGGGUGAUUUUUUUAACUUGUGGGAAGUCCUAUAAAUAGGGGAGCUGCUGUCCGUUUCAUCUUAAGAUAGGUUGCGGUUGAUAUAUAAUAGUUACGACGCUUAAACGAUAAUGAUAGUAUCAUUUCUCUUAUUGUAGACUAAGGAGCCGUGAGAUUUGCAUAGCUUAAGGUUGUACACUAUAUACAAGGUAUGUGAGGCUAUCCCUUUCCCUUCUUUUGCACGACUUUGAUAGUACAUAGUGUAAUGAACGAGCUUCCAAAGAUACUCCACUCUUAGAAGAUAGCAGUAUUUACAUUGUUUCCCUUCUUAUGGAACGAUUGAUGUUGAUGUUGCUUCUCUUAUUCUUAUAUUAUCAAUGUUGUUGGUAUUUCCUGAUUCUUGUAAGAUUUACGAAGAAGAGUUAGUCCAAAUAACGUGUACGGGGGUUACCGACCUUACAUUAUUCCGAAAAGUUCAGAAUGUGAUUCCCAUGCGUCCAUCAUGCAUUAUAUAUAUGUACCUAUUUUACUCUACCGAGCCGCGCUAUAGUCGGUUGGGUACGAUACCUAUUGUGCAACCACUGAUCAAUUGGGUUUUACCGAGCUCCACGUGGCCAGGUACAAUUCUAUCGAGCCUCAUAAUGGCGGGGUACAUUUUUACCGAGCCUACUACGACCAGGUAUGAUAUGAUGAUGCCCUCAGAGGCACUAAGAUGUUAAAUGUUGUAUAUUCUCUAUCCCUGUUUACAUCACUAUCCUUAUUUAUGCUUUCCUGCCUUACAUACUUAGUACUUUAUUAGCGAGAUACCUUCUCCGGACUUGCCGUGGUCUUGGUAUGAAUUUUUGUUAUAGACAUUAUGGGUAUGUCGGGGCCCUGUUCUGGCAAUGUUGCAACACUUAUGUUCCUUUAGAGGCUCAUAUACAAGUGUCGUCUCAUGUAUAGUUUGGACAGCCUUGUCGAUUGAUUUUUGUUGUAUAGUCUCUCAUGGUAGCUUGUCGGCUCCUACCUUAUAUAUAGCUUCAUGAUAGCCUUGUCAGCCCAUGUUAUAUAUGUUCAUUCCAUUAUCUGUCAUUGUUGGUUGUUUAUGGUUCAUGUCUACCAUUUAUGUUGAUCUUGUCGGCAUUUAUAGAUAAUAAGAAAGGUUAGAUAAAAUGUAUAUUGAUGCUCAGCAGGUAUGGCUCGGAUGCCAGUCAUGGACCUACUGUUUGGAUCAUGAAAAAUCAAAUCUCAAGUAUUAAGCACGAGCCUGUCAAGGCUAACGACCCGAUCCCGUAGGAAUAGUGAUACUCAGUACUAUCAAGGCGAAUGACCCGAUCCCAUAAGAGAAAUUUACAACACUACCAAGGCGAAUGGCCCGAUCCCAUAAGAGUAGAGAAAUUACCUCGCUCGUGGAGAUGCGGGGACGGAUUUGUGUGCCCAACGUGGAUGGGUUGUGUGAGUUGAUUCUUGAGGAGGCCCACAGUUCGCGGUAUUCUAUUCAUCCGGGUGCCGCUAAGAUGUAUCAAGAUUUGAGGCAGCAUUAUUGGUGAAGAAGAAUGAACAAAGAUAUAGUAGAGUUUGUGGAUCGAUGUUUGAACUACAACAAGUGAAGUACGAGCAUCAGAGGCCGCGCGGUUUGCUUAUGAGACUUGAGAUUCCAGAGUUGAGGUAGGAGUGUAUCACCAUGGAUUUCGUUUUUAGGCUCCCACGAACCUUGAAUAAAUUCGACGCAAUGUGGGUUAUUAUGGAUAGACUGACUAAGUCUGCACACUUCAUUCCAGUUGUGCCUACCUACUCUUCAGAGCAGCUGGCUCAGAUAUAUACCCGUGAGAUUGUUCGUCUUCAUGGAGUGCCGGUGUCCAAAAUCUCUGAUCGAGGGAGGCAAUUCACAUCGCAUUUUUGGAGAUCUGUGCAGUACAAGUUAGGCACACGGGUUGAGUUGAGUACAACAUUCCAUCCCCAGAUGGACGGGUAGUCCGAGCGAACCAUUCAGAUCUUGGAGGAUAUGCAAUGUGCCUGUGUUAUUGAUUUUGGGGGUUCAUGGAAUCAGUUCUUACCGCUAGAGCUUUCGUACAACAACAACUACCAAUCGAGUAUUCAGAUGGCUCCUUAUGAGGUCUUAUAUGGGAGGAUGAAUCGUUCUCUAGUUGGUUGGUUUGAUCUGGCAGAGGUUAGGUUGUUGGGCACUGAUUUGAUUAGGGAUGCCUUGGGAAAAGUCAAGUUGAUUUAGGAUCAGCUUCGUAUGACACAAUCUAGGAAGAUCAGAAUGUUUGUGAUGUAGCAUUUAUGGUGGGAGCGAGGGUUUCGCUCAGAGUUUCACCCAUGAAGGGUGUGAUGAGGUUUGGAAAGAAGGGCAAGUUGAGCCCUAGGUAUAUUGGUCCUUUUGAGAUCCUUGGGAGAGUUGGUGAGGUGGCCUACAUACAUGCAUUGCCACUCAGCCUAUUGGUAGUCCACCCGGUGUUCCAUGUUUCCAUGCUCCGGAUGUAUUUUGCUGAUCUGCCUCAUGUAUUAGAUUUCACUUCAGUCCAAUUGGCCAAGGAUUUGACUUAUGUCGAGGAGCCAGGGCCUAUAUUGGAUAGGAAGGUACAGAAGUUGAGGUCAAAGAACAUUGCUUCACUGAAGGUUCAAUAGAGAGGUUAACCGGUCAUGGAGGCAACUUGGGAGACCAAGAAUGACAUGCAGAGUCAAUAUCCUCAACUUUUACGCACUCGGAUAUGUCUCUAUAUACUUGUUCGAGGAUGAACGUUUGUUUAAGAGGGGUAGAAUGUAAUGACCUGGCCGGUUGUUUUGUGUAUUAUAGACCCGUCCCCCCUGUUUAUUACUUCUCCUAUGUUCAUUUGUUAUUAUGCGACUCGCUGGGGUGUUUGGGAUUGGUUUCGGGAAGGUUUCGGAGUGAAUUGGGACACUUAGUCUCAAGGUUGGAGGCUUAAGUUGCAAGAGUUGACCAGAGUUUGACUUUUGUGUAGACGACUCCGAAAUGGAGUUUUGAUGGUUCCAGUACCUUUGUAUAGUGAUUUUUGACUUAGACGUAUAUCCGGAUGUUGAUUUGGAGGUCUGUAGGUUGAUUUGGUGCUUUUUGGCAAAAAUCAGAAAGUUGUGUCAUGCCCCAAACCUAGGAGGCGUGGCCGGCACCCGGUUCCAUACUCGGCAGGAGCGUACCACUCUGUAACUGUGAACUCUGGAGCGGUAACCCUCAACUUAGGCAGACGAGGCCUACCUGCAAACUGACAAUACAAUCAAGGCCGAUGAGGCCAUAUUCUGAAUCAUCUGAAACUAACGUCUCUCUCAUUUGAGGGGUAAACAUACCCAAAAGCUCAUACAUAUAACUGUGCAGGCCGACGAGGCCACCAUGAAUUUUUCCAACCAGCAAUACCAAACUGAACGUAUACACAGGGUUAGAAAGGCCACAAUACUGAUAUACAAAAUACCCAGGACUCGUCUCCAAGCCUCUAAAUAUAACUAAAUUAUAUCAUGGUCGGGACAGGGCCUCGACGUUCCCAUCAAACCUCUAUAUAUAAAAUGGACUCCAAGGUCUAGACCUGGUAACUCCGAGGAAGUGGAGCUUACCAACCAAGCUGAUGUUUGACUCUGUCUACUGAGAAGGUCUAUCUAGCUGUCUAUCGGGACCUGCAGGCAUGAAAUGCUGCGUCCCCAGCAAAAGGGACGUAAUAACGAAAUAAUGUAUCAAGUAUGUAAGGCAACAUAAUAAUUGAACUGAUAAUAUAAUAACUGAAAGUAACUAGAAGUCAAAGAUAAUUUGAAAAUAUGCUUACUUGCUGAUACUGACUCAACCCUCUCAAUAUAGUAUGUAAAAUAGUUGCCGGCCCUAUAAGGCUCGGACUGCUCUGCUGUAGUAGGCUCGCUCAUAGGUGCUCGGCCAUACUAGACUCUGUAUCUCGGCCAUUCUGGGCUCGCUCAUAGGCGCUCGGCCACAGUAGGCUCGAAAUAUAACUUACCAUCUCAUUGGAGGUUGCCCGAUAGGGGCCUUCCCACUUAUUACAGUCCAGUACAAGUUGAAUAACUCGAACUCACGGCAUCCGAUCACCGUCCCAUGAGCUCUUACAAUUAUUGAACAAAUUUAUCUACUUUUACAGCAGAAAAAAUGGAUGAAAGAGGGAAGUAUACUUAUCUUAUUUGUUGAAUAUCUCAACUCCUAGCUUGGUUCUUCAACCCUUAGGUUUUCCUCCAACUAGAACUUGAAAAGAAGAGAAAAUCAUUUCGGGUUUUGUGUUGAACUUUUGGGAGAAGUUUACAGGGGCUUAUCUCUAAUGUUUUUGAUCUAUAAUGAGUGUAACAUCUGAAGGAAAUCAGCCCUUAAAAUGUCUCUUUGGCCGACCAAAACUAGCCCCUCUUUGGACAUGUUUCGUCGUUUCAUUUAAGCAAGUAGGAGACACACCUUCUUAUCACUUACGCAGUCUGCGCAGUUUCACAAAAAUGCAAAUAUCUCUUUACUCCAAAGUCAUAUCGAUACACGGUUUAAUGCGUGAGCAACUAAACUCGUAGAUAUUUAAUUUUGGUAGGUUUAUCAUCCCCUAAUUCCAAGUAUAUUAGGAGAAAAGCGUAGCUACAUUUGACCUAUGUUUCAUCACAUUUAUGAAUGUAACUUGUGAUGACCUUUGCCAACUUUUGUUCCACAACUUGCUUGACUUCAAACACAACAUGCGACUAAAAUAACUUAUAUCAUAACCUCCUUAUAAUUUUAAUAAUCUUAGUCACAACCCAAAAGUACAUGUUAUAACAUCUUGUCGACUUUCGACGAAACUUAUUUUCUUCAAUUCGUUUAGUUCCUAAGCCUUCCAACCAUCUUGGUACUUGUUAUUCAUGAUCUUAAAUAUCUGUAACCCCAUGGUAACAUGACUAACUUACUUUAGGUAUUUUGAAAGAUGAUUUCAUUCCUAAUCUUACAUCAAUUAACUUGCGACGUACUCUUGCGUACGAAAAUAUGGAGUGUAACAAGUUGAAGGUUUGGAAGGUUGAGUGAUUUGACCGAGAGUUGACUUUGUUGAUAUCAGGUUUUGAUUUUUGUUCGGGGAGUUGGAAUAGGCCUGUUGCAUCAUUUGGGAUUAGUGUGCAAAAUUUGAGGUCAUUCGGAGUUGAUUUGAUAUGAUUCGACAUUUGUUUUAUAAGUUUGAAGUUCUUUAGUUUCAUUAGGCUUGAAUUGGGGUACGACUCAUGAAUUUGAUGUUGUUCGAUGUGAUUCGGACUGUUUUAGGACUGGUUGGUUUAUUUGGAUGGGGGCCCCUUGGGCCUCGGGUGUGAUUCGGAUGUUUGGCGAAUCAUUUUGGGAUUUUGAAGAAAUGUUGCAGAUUUGCAGGUUCUGGUGCAAUCGCACCUGCUAGAAUUUGGUCGCAGGUGUGAGACCGCAAAAGCGGCUUGGUGAUCAUAGGAGCAAUAUUGGCUGAUUCUAGGAAGGAGCGCAGGUGCGAGGAUUUAUCCGCAUAUGUGAGAUCGCAGUUACGGGCAGAUGAGCGCAGAAGCGAAGUUAAGCGGAGGCAUGGGUUUCCGCAAAUGCGUACAUGAGGGCACAGGUGCGCAGCUGCAGGAGUGAAAAUGAGAUCGCAAAAGCGGAAGUUUGCUGGGAGAUUAGGGACCGUAGAUGCGGAAGGAGCCCGCAGAAACGGAAUUACAGGUGCGAUGGGAGUUCCACAAAAGCGAAAGGGUGACUUUUGGAGGAAGUUGCAAAUGCAGACACUUUUACGCAAAAGCAAACCGCAGGUGCGGUUAAGUGAGUCGCAGGUGUGCAAUCGCUGGGUAGAACUUAUAAACGAGGGUUUGGUCAUUUUGUUCCUGUUUUGGAUUUUGGAGCUCGGCUAAGGGCAAUUUUAGUAGACGUUUUGCUACAAUUGAAGAGGUAAGUAAAGUUUAAUCACUUUUGAUAUUAUAUAUUAAUUACCCAUUGAUUAUUACACCUAGGCUAUGUGAAUUUAAAGAGAAAUUUUGGGAUUUUAGGCUAUGAUAUUUGAGAGUGAGAUUUGGUGAUUUAAGGGUCGAUUUGCGGAUGAAAUUUGAUGAAAUUAGUAUGGUUGGACUAGUUAUUGAAUGGGUGUUGGGGAUUUGUGAAUUUUGUCGGGUUCUGGGGUACGGGCCCUGGGUUGACUUUGCAUAUUUGAUUCAAGAUGUUAACUUUAUCAUUUGGAGUUGUUUCCUAUUGCUAUUAUUGAUGGUAUUAAGUUAAUUUGGCUAGAUUCGAGCCAUCCAGAGAUUGGUACGCGCGGGAAGGGCUUAUUAGUGGAUUGAGUUUUCUUGAUUGAGGUAAGUAUCUUGUCUAACUUUAUGUGGAAAAAACUACCCCUUAGAACUUGGGUUGUUUGUACUAUUCGAAUUAUGUGAAAGACGUAUAUUUGAGGUGACGAGUGUGUACACGAGUUUAUAUGUGGUAUUACUCUUAGGUUACUUAUAAGUAUUUAAUUGAAGUUAUUAUUAUUUGUUCUAUGUUUCUUUGGUAAGUUUAUUCUCACAUGCUCUAAUUGGAAUUGUCAUUACAUACUCUAGUUUCCAUCGUCAAGUUACUCUUAUAUGCAUUUACUUGUAGUAGUUGUUACAUGCCAUUCUUUCCAUUGUUGAGUUAUUCUCAUGCAUUUAGACUUAGCCACUAUAUCAAUCUAUCUCUUUCAUUGUUAAGCUUAUAUCAUGUCCUUGAAUUGGAAGUUGCCUUUUCGUGGGAAUAUCUUCAAUGUUGAGUUAUGGAAGUCGUAGUUGUGAAAGCUAUUAAAACAUUGAGGUUGAAGUUGUUAAUUGUUGAGAUAUCUUUCCUUAUUGAGUUGUUUCUCACUCCUUUUGUUACUAUUGAGAUUUUGUACACAUUGUGGUUUAGCCUUGGGCUAUAUGUUGUGGUAACAUCGGUAUUAUUGAUUUUGAAAAUGUUGUGACAUUUUGGCAUGUAUGGUGUGAGUUAAUUAUUGUGUUGCGAUAUUGAUGUGCAUACUAUGGUAUAAGGAUACAAGUUGAUGUGCAUGCGGCAAGAUAAGGUGGGAUUUAUACAUGUGUUUCUAGUAAAGGAAUUACUUGAAGCCAUGCGGUGAGAUAAGGGGGCUAAAGCGAGUGUAGCUAUUUUGGGAAAAAUAUUUUUGAAAAAAUGCAAGGCUCACGCGGUGACGUAAGGAAGAUUGUAAUUAUGACUUAUGAAAUGUGAACAUGAGGUGUAGUACCUCGGUAUGAUUCUUGUUGUACAUUGCAUAUUGGAAAGGCUUGAUGAUUUGAACUAUUGUUUGUUCUUAUUUUCCUUAUUUCUUCCCUUUAGAAUUUUUUAUUGUAAUUGGUUACUUGUUGUCUUUAUUACAUGCGCUCUCUCAUUAUCAUUUGUUGCUUUACUUCUGUUGCUAGCCCUGUAUUGAUAAAUUGCUUUAUUGUCCUUUAAUUGCCUUUAUCUUCUGUUAUUAGAUUAUAUAAUAUAUUGUUCAGGUUUUCUUUUCUCUAGUAGGUAUCUUGACCUAGCCUCGUCACUACUCUACCGAGGUUAGACUUGAUACUUACUGGGUACCAUUGUGGUUUACUCAUGCUACACUUCUGCAUAUUUUUGUGCGGAUCCAGGUAUAUCCGCUUGAGCCGGAUGCUAGUGAUUUGUUUAGUUACUUCGGAGAUUUCAAGGUAUACCUGCUUGACGCUCACAAGCCUCAGAUUCACCUUCUUCUUUUGCUUUACUACUGUUUAUCUUUAUUUUAAACAAAGUUGUAUUAGACAUUUUUAGUGCAUUCUCUGUAGAGCUUAUGACUCAGUUCCAUCGAUUUUGGGGAUUUUGUAUUUGCUAUUCAGUAUCUAUGUUAUCAUGAGAUUUGUCAGUUUAAUUUAAUAACCUUUGUCGUUAUUUCUAUUUAAAUCUCUUGAAUGAUAGGCUUACCUAGUCUUAGAGACUAGGUGCCAUUACGACAUUCUAAGGAGGGAGUUUGGGGUCGUAACAGGUUUCAUCACUGUUGGACCACUAUUGAUUUUCUGAUAAACAUUACACUAAAGGCGAAUGAAAAUUACCCCCGUGUUAUUGAGGUCACGACCCUCCGAUUUGAUUCUUCCGAACCGAGCCCAAAAUAAAUGAGGCGAUAAUGAUAAAAUCAUCGGAAAAGGAAAAAGACGUGAAACGUGACGAGCCGACACUUUGGAUGGUGACACAGUUGGACACCGUAGAAGCAACCAAAGUGGUUUCCGUUCUCAUGUCUAGACGGAAAUCAAAAUCAUAAUCUAAGCCUCAAAAUACUUUUAAAAAAAAAAA